ensembl:lncRNA
UAUCAGGCCAGGCCCUUUAUGCUACAGUUUCAUAGUUGGAAAUGUCUUCACUGCCUUUGACACCUCAUUCUGGUAGCAGUGGCAAAUCCACACGGGUCUGCAGCAACUGGAUUCUUGCCUCCUCGGAGGAAAGAAUUCGGCCAAGAGGCACAAGACAGAGGGAGAGACCCAGACAAGUUUUCGAACAGGACUAAAAGUUUAUUAAAAAGUUAUGGAGCAGGAACAAAAGGAAGUAAAGUACACUUGGAAGAGAGCCAAGAGGGCCACUUGGGAGGUCCAAGUGCCUUGUCUACCCCUUGACUCGGGUUCUGUAAUUGACUGGUUCCCAGGUUUGCAUUUCUUCUCCCCGAUUCUCCUCUCUGAGUGAGCAGUCUACCUAUGCAGUGGCCUGCCAGCACCUGGGAGGAGCUGCACGUGCAGCGUGUUUACUGAAGCUGUGUGUAUGCUCACUUGAGGCAUUUUGCCCUUACCAGUCAAGCGGUCCUAAAGGAAGGUUACAUGCCAGUUACACUCUGCCAUUUUGCCUCUUAGUGUGCACACUUGAGCCCAUUUGUCCGACUCCUGAGAUCUUACUGGGAAGCUGCUGAUCACCAGCUUCAGCUGUUUUCUGUUAGGAGACUACCUUUUCCUGGCACCAGCUGCAACCAAUUACCAUUUUAAAGAGACAGUUUAACAGGUGUCUGGCCAACACCUGAUGGUCACCUGACAUUCCUGGGGCCAAGUGAGGGUCUCUCUUGCCCCGCUCAUGUCUGCUUAACUACCUACUCUUAACAAUUCCGAGUUGCAGCAAAAGAAUCUUAGCAAAAUAUUUCCUAGUGAGACAUCAGCAAUAGCAGCAAUGUGACCAAGUAAUGGGGCUGGAGAGGGCCAAAAUAAAAGCCUCCUUCUAUCCCCUUCCUUCCAGAAUAGAGAGAGGAUACGGGAAUCUGGGGAUCACAUGUGUCCAGUUCUAUUUUCCCGAGCUUACACCUUCCAGUAAGCACACUGUAACCUGGGGUAGAGGAAGAAGGCUGGGGGUUGAAAGAGGAGCAGCUAGGCAUCAGUUCAAAUUAGCCCCUGGCUCAGAAACAGGACAACAAGACGGGGAGACCUGAAGCGACCAAAAGAAAGUCCAGGGUGCUCUGAACAUGACUUCCCACGCCAAACACAGUGCUAAGUCUCACGCUCUCACAGCCUACUGCACUUACUUCUGUCUGCGGUUUUGGCUUCACUCUACAGAGUAAAACGACUGAAUCAUCUUCACACAGUUGUGAACUAUACGCUCAUCUUGAUCUUCAUCAUUCAAUAAAUAAAAGAAAAGCAAUAAAAGAAUAAACUCUUUCUGUUCAUCUCGGCUAGGAGCACAGCAGAUGAUCAUCUCACUUUCAGUGUGAGCACUCUGAGUAUAGAUAGUAUUUAAUGAAUGGCAGCCACCAUCAGAUAGAAAGCAGGAUGGUCCCCAAGAACAGGCUUAUGGUCAGAGAUGGAAUGCAUGGACUGCUAACCUGCAUGCCUAUUGAGGUCCAGUAGGAGACUUAAAGAAUGAGGCUAAGGCUGGAACACAGGGAGGGCUGGGGGAAGGGAACAUCCCCAGCGGAAGGCAACAGGUGAUGGCGGUCACAUGCAAUUGGUGCAGUGCUGGCCAGUCUCCUGAUUUCUGCAUAACAUAAUUGAGAAGCCCGUCAUCUUUCUUACAAGCUUAAAGAUAAGAAUCAGUUCCACAGGGACGCUCUUGGGAUAGUUGAGUGUCUUCAGAACAGGGAAGCCAUUUACCGAAGGAAGAGGCCACACCCAGAAACCAGAGCUGAGUGCCCCGCAGUGCUGGAAGAGGUGACUCCGAAAACCAGGACAAUACCCAACCUGUCAAUUCCCAUCCUUAAAGAGGAGCGUGUUAUCAGGUGGAGAUAAGUUCCAGGGUGUAUUUCAGGACAAGAGUAUUUUGAUAUUCCUCGGAUUUGAUUGUGCAAAGCAACUGCCUAUACAGUUGUCCUAUGGCCCAAUUUGAUAUACAGCUCAACUCCUCUCCUCUUAGGGACGACAUCAGCUGCAACCGCUUCAAAAAAGAAUACCCAGACGGUUGGAGAAACAGAAGGAUACCCAUGUCAACAAAAUAAUAAAUUUUACACAAGCCCCUUUGAUCCUGGAAAGGCCCAAUUAGAAAAGGC